rnacentral:rRNA from 1 species
UCGACCUGAACUCAAGCGUGAGCACCCGCUGAACUUAAGCAUAUCAGUAAGCGGAGGAAAAGAAACUAACAAGGAUUCCCGUAGUAACGGCGAGUGAACUGGGAUCAAGUCCAGCGCUAAAUCGUUUGCCCUCUGGGUGAACGAGGUGUGGCGUAUAGGCUGUGAGUGUGGGCAGACACGUUCGUUCAAGUUUCCUUUGACCAGGGUUCCAGAGAAGGUGCAAGACCUGUUCAGCGAACGCGUAGUCGGUUCACUUUUGCAUGCUUUGGAGUCGGGUUGUUUGGGAUCGCAGCCCAAAGCAGGUGGUAAACUUCAUCUAAGGCUGAAUAUUACUACGAGACCGAUAGCGAACAAGUACCGUGAGGGAAAGUUGAAAAGCACUUUGAAGAGAGAGUUAAAGAGGACGUGAAACCGAUGAGGUGGAAACGGAUAGAGCCAGCGCAUCUGGCCUGCAUUCAUCUGCUUUGCUGUCGGCAGCUGGUACGCCGCUCUCCAGAUUGGGACGGUGACCAGUUCGCUGGCGGCAAGCAAUGCAUUUGCAGGUGGAGUGCGUCGAGAGUUUCGGAGCAGCUGUGCGAUCUCAGCCUUGAGGCCAUCCCGCAAGGGUUUGGUACCCGGACUGGGGGAACGCUGUUUGUUCUGGAACGCAAAGAUGGUUUACGGCUCACGAGCUCGUGUGGGCGCCGUGCUGGUGCGGGUUACGGUCGCAUGCGACACGUGCCUGUGUCCAGUUCGGUCCUGCGCGAGCUCACUCAUAUAACCGCUCUCGGCGUAAAAGCUGGUCAUCUAUCCGACCCGUCUUGAAACACGGACCAAGGAGUUUAUCGUGUGCGCGAGUCAUUGGGCGUUGAAAACCCAAGGGCGCAAUGAAAGUGAAUGUUUCCGCAAGGAGCUGAUGUGCGAUCCCGGGCACUGCGGUGCCCGGGCGCAGCAUGGCCCCAUCCUGACUGCUUGCAGUGGGGUGGAGGCAGAGCGUACGCGGUGAGACCCGAAAGAUGGUGAACUAUUCCUGAGCAGGACGAAGCCAGAGGAAACUCUGGUGGAAGUCCGAAGCGGUUCUGACGUGCAAAUCGAUCGUCUGACUUGGGUAUAGGGGCGAAAGACUAAUCGAACCAUCUAGUAGCUGGUUCCCUCCGAAGUUUCCCCCAGGAUAGCUGGAGCUCCUCUCGUGAAUACGAGCUCCAAGUGGGCCAUUUUUGGUAAGCAGAACUGGCGAUGUGGGAUGAACCAAACGCGGAGUUAAGGUGCCAAAGUGCCCGCUCAUUAGACCCCAUAAAAGGUGUUGGUUGAUAUAGACAGCAGGACGGUGGCCAUGGAAGUCGGAAUCCGCUAAGGAGUGUGUAACAACUCACCUGCCGAAUCAACUAGCCCUGAAAAUGGAUGGCGCUGGAGCGGGCCACCUAUACUUCGCCGUCAGUUGCUUGUACUCUCUGUGUUUUCUGGAUAGUCUGGCACUGGCGUGUAGGAGGGUCGUAGUGGUUGCGUUGAAGGCUUCGGGCGCGGGCCCAGCUGGAGCUUCCACUAGUGCAGAUCUUGGUGGUAGUAGCAAAUAUUCAAGUGAGAUCCUUGAAGACUGAAGUGGAGAAGGGUUCCACGUGAACAGCAGUUGAAUGUGGGUCAGUCGAUCCUAAGGCACCGGCUAAAGCCGUCACAUACUACGGGGACGACUUGCAGCUCACUUGUGGGUUGUCGGUCCACCCGGUUGCCGAAAGGGAAGUGGGUUAAUAUUCCCACACCAGGCCAGGGAGAUGGCUGUUCGCAAGAGCGGCUGAGCGCGGUGACGCAAAUGAACUCGCAGACGCUGUGUGGAGUUCGGGCCAGAGUUCUCUUUUCUGGUUUAGAGGUCUUGUCCCUGGAAGUGGCUCAGCCUGAGAUAGGGAUGUUGGCCUCGUAAAGUGCCGCGGUUCCUGUGGCAUCCCGUGCGCUCCAUAUGGCCCUUGAAAAUGCGAGGAAAGCGAUGUGAAUUUCCUGCCUGCUCGUACCGAUAUCCGCAGCAGGUCUCCAAGGUGAACAGCCUCUAGUCGAUAGAAUAAUGUAGGUAAGGGAAGUCGGCAAAUUAGAUUCGUAACUUCGGGAAAAGAAUUGGCUCUAAAGGUUGGGCCAGUCGGGCUGUUGCGUGAAACAGGCAGCUGUUGCCCGUGGCUGCGUGUGCCCGCUCGCAAGGGUGGGCGUGCGCGGACUAGCGGUGUGCACUUCGAUUGGCGCUAAACAACCAGUUUAGAACUGGCACGAACUCGGGGAAUCCGACUGUCUAAUUAAAACAGAGGAGACGGAUGGUCCUUGUGGACGUUGACCGUGUCUGAUUUCUGCCCAGUGCUCUGAAUGUUAAGCCAAGGAAACUUGAUUAAGCGCGGGUAAACGGCGGGAGUAACUAUGACUCUCUUAAGGUAGCCAAAUGCCUCGCCAUCUAAUUAGUGGCGCGCACGAAUGGAUUAACGAGAUUCCCACUGUCCCUAUCUACUAUCUAGCGAAACCACAGCCAAGGGAACGGGCUUGGCAAAUUUAGCGGGGAAAGAAGACCCUGUUGAGCUUGACUCUAGUCUGA